UUUCAGCCUCACAUUCUAUCCUAAGCCUCUGCCUGCCCUCCUCCUCAGAGACUGCGGCUGCUGGCCCCGGGUCUCUGCUGCCUCUCCUGCCCUUGACAGCGGUGCCCAGGCCAGGGCUUUGGUGAAAGCACCCUCUGGUGAAGCUUCCAGCCAAUAUCUGGAGAGGAACUGAGGUCCUAAAUCCAACAUCCGAUGGGGAACUGAGGUCCUAAAUCCAACAUCCGAUGGGGAACUGAGGUCCUAAAUCCAACAUGAGGCUCAAAGAGAUUACGUUCCUACAACAGGGUGCUGCUCUGUGCCACUGCUCAGAAGGGGACAGCAGCAGCGUGGAUCUCAGCUGCGGUGGGUGUUUUGGCGAUGGCUUUUUCCUCUCACUGCAGUUUGCACUUGGACAAUCUUGGGAGCCUGGACUGUCUGUCAUCAUCUGAGUCAGUCCAUCAGAUCUUCUGAGGUAACUGAGACUCUCUGGAUUCUGACUCAGCUGGCAGAGUAAAACGGAUGCAGAGCAAAAAUCAUCUCGGCUGUACAGGGAAGGCUAAUGUGAGUUAGGACACCAAAGAGGAGAUGGCAGCGAACAGGGACCAAGAGGAAGCCAGAUGUGAGGAGCGCUUGAAGCUGGAGAUCGAUCACACAUACAGAGCCGGAGCAAGGCCAGCCUUGAGAACGUGGAGAGCAUAAGGGAACCUUGAGAGCUGCACUGUUGUGGAAGCCAGAGGCCCAGUUAUGCUGUCCUGAGCUUUCUUGACAUCAUCCUGAGCUGCAGAUAGACCCUGCAGGAGUUACAGGGUCAGAUGUGUUGGCCAGAGGGAGACUGGAGCUGUGUGGCAGGAGCAAAAGUGAGCCCUGCUUGGAGGCACCUGGAAUAGUCCAGGAUAUUGUCUUAGGUCAGGGUAGCGAGUUUGAAAGUUUUGUUUGAGUAGAUUUGUGUGAGGAACCACUUGGACUCCUUCAAAGCUCAGGGCAUCUAAGGAUACCUGAGGACAUGACCUUGCUUUUCUAACACAGGUGCACGUAGGAUACAGUUACAUAACCAUGACUCAGCGUAGGUAAACAUACACAUGCUGGAUAUGGCACUAUGUAAGAAUGUAAAUAUGACAUGAGCCAGUGGCAGUUUGGGCAGGGAGGAGAAUGAAGAAGCCAAUCUCCUGCUGUGAGCCAGCCAGCAUACAGGAGACAGAAGCCAACUACCCUGUCCCCCACUGCGCCUGUAAGCAACCAACUGAUUCGGAGGAACAUAGGCUGAGACGACAGCCCUACAGUUAAAAAGCAACUUAAUGCUUAUAUUGUUUGAUUGACCUUCUAGGCCUAAAGCUGGUAGUCUGAGCAUCUAUUUAAAGGAUAGAAAUAUGCAGUAUAGCAACUAUGGGGAUUUCUUUCUGUCUUGUUUUUGAAAUCCAAUAUUCUCACUGUUUUGCUUAGUUCUGUUUUAUUCCCCUUAAAGUAAAAGAGAAUGUAACUAUGAGAUCACAACGUGUUUAAGAAUUAUACAAUAAAGAUGCAGGUAGCUCUUGUGUU